GACGAACGCUGGCGGCGUGCUUAACACAUGCAAGUCGAACGGAAAGGCCCUGCUUUUGUGGUGUGCUCGAGUGGCGAACGGGUGAGUAACACGUGAGUAACCUGCCCUUGACUUUGGGAUAACUUCAGGAAACUGGGGCUAAUACCGGAUAGGAGCUCCUGUUGCAUGGUGGGGGUUGGAAAGUUUCGGCGGUCGGGGAUGGACUCGCGGCUUAUCAGCUCGUUGGUGGGGUAGUGGCUUACCAAGGCUUUGACGGGUAGCCGGCCUGAGAGGGUGACCGGCCACAUUGGGACUGAGAUACGGCGCAGACUCCUACGGGAGGCAGCAGUGGGGAAUAUUGCACAAUGGGCGGAAGCCUGAUGCAGAAACGCCGCGUGCGGGAUGACGGCCUUCGGGUUGUAAACCGCUUUCGCCUGUGACGAAGCGUGAGUGACGGUAAUGGGUAAAGAAGCACCGGCUAACUACGUG
rnacentral:rRNA from 1 species